AGUGGUGGCAGUUUACAAGAACUGCUGUGUUGAUGGAAACAUUUACCUUAGCUUAUUCAUUUGCUAGAAUGACCGCCACAUGUGACAUCAUUAUGAUGGUAGAAUAAAGGAGUUUGUCAGACCCAGUUAUGGGCAAAAGAACAGGAGACACUGCAAAUGUUCCUUUCUAAGGCAUCAAGUAUGUUCUCUUGGGAAGUACAGCAGGACAACAUCCUGGGGAUAGAGGGAGGAGUGUUUAGGAGCCAGGCCCUCAGUGGCUUCAUAAAUUACCAGGAAAACAAAAUGAAUGGGUUAUUGCCAACCCUGAACAUCAGUGGCAUGAAUAAGUGGAAUCAACAUCAACUGUCAUGAGCACAGUUGAAAUAUGGCAAGAUCUUGACUUACGGCUGUGCUUAUCCCCAUAAAGCGCUGUCCUUCUUCACUAUGCUAGANNNNNNNNNNGCAGAUGUGUGAACACUGGAGGGAAGACAUCAAUGCAGAUGUGUGAACACUGGAGGGAAGACAUCAAUGCAGAUGUGUGAACACUGGAGGGAAGACAUCAAUGCAGAAUGUUUAUUGUUUGAUGCUGAAGAUAAUCCAGAGAAGCAAAUGUCCAAUGUUUAAACUCAGUAGGUUAAGAUAAAUAUUCCAGACACUCAUUUCUCAUCAAUUGCCAAAUAAACAAUAGAAUCCCUG
rnacentral:lncRNA from 1 species